rnacentral:tRNA from 2 species
GCCCGGGUGGCGAAAUUGGUAGACGCAAGGGACUUAAAAUCCCUCGGAGGCAACUCCGUGCCGGUUCGAGUCCGGCCCCGGGCACCA